AUGAUUUUUAGAACUGUGGAACUUCAUCCUUUCAUUUUAGCUUCUCCUGCCUUUGCUUGCUGGAAUCGGGUGAAGAAGACCGCCUUGAGAAGAAGAUGGGUGAGUGAAGGCAACAAGCAAUUUACACGGAUCGAGCAUCUACACCGGUUCUGGAACAAGGAGAGUUACUCUUGUGAUAUGUCUGGUUUCACAAUGUGUGCAGCCCAGGCAAGAGGGCGAUUGAGUGGAUUUCAGUCAUUCUCAGGAGAGAUGGAGUGUUCUAAGGGAGACCUGGUGAUGAAGACUGAGCGCAGGCCCCAAGUGGAUGAGUUAGUCAAGGUCAGUGCACAAUCACCCAUGGGCCCAGGGAGCUCCUGCAAGCACCUCGGUGCGGUCAGUGAACUUCGUCUUGGUUCAGUUAUUUUUGAGGGGACUGUCCUCUGGAUAAAUGAAAGAAAUCCAGAUGUUCUCAAAGGUUCUUAGGAGAAGGAAGAGAUAAAGAUGAAAGCCUUUUGUGGAGACCUUGGUUUUGCAUUGUUGGUCUGCAUAUUGGGCAGCCAGCAGGGCUGCAUGCAGUAGGUGGGAAGGAAGGCUGCUGCACAAUUGUUUUCUGUUUUCCUAGACCAUGCUCUAGAGAGUGAACCUGGGGAGGACCCAGGCUGAGACACCCUAUGCCCUGGCAAGCAAGUUCAAGUAAGCAAUGACCCUGAGAGUCAGAAUUCACAGCUCAGGCCUUGGGCACUGUGGAUAUUAGAUGGCAAACUUCAACACACCAACUCAGGGACAAAAAAAAAAAAAAAAAAAAAAAAAACAAAAACCUAAAACCACAAACAAAAAAACCGACUAUAUUGCUUAGGGUUCAUUGUCAGUCUAUACUCUCUAUGAACUCCUGACUGGUACUACAAGGAGAGAAAAAAAGGGUAGAAGCUAACACAUAUUGUCUAAUGUGCCAGGUGCCUUGUUAGUCAUUUUUCAUGCUGUAUUUUGUUUCUUCCUGAGAGCUACUUCUAAGGUAGGUAUUACUAUUUUAUUUGCAUUUUAAAGAAGCUCAUGAGGGUUAGAUAGCUUAUCUCCAGUCAUCCUGCUAGCUGGGAUUUGAACCCAUGACUCUCUGACUACAAUCCCUUUAUACCACAUUGCCUCUGAGUUUCCUCCCUUCUCAGAACACUGUUGCCAGUAGACCCUGAACCAUAAACUGCAAACACAUUAGUUUGCAUUGUUGUAAAUAUUUCUUGUGUUUUCUUUAAUACAAUUAUAAAAUUUCAAGUACAGAAGAGAUCUGAUACUAUAGUCGAAAGUUCCCUAAACUGGAGCUCAGGAAAACUUGAGUUCUAGACUUAGUCCUUUAUCACUUCAGAUUCCCUCAUCUGGAAAACAAAGUGGUUGGCCAAGAUGCUGGUAUAAACUCUUUUUAGUUAAAGGUGGGUUAGGUUGUGACCCUGAGAAGGGCUUUGUCUUACUUCUGAGUUACCUGAGAGUCUGUAGCACAGAGUCAGACAUAAGGUGACAUUGGCAAAUGCACUAAAUCCUUCAUUAUAUCAAGUGUUGUUAAUUCACGGUGAUUUUUAAAACCAACAAAUGACAAAACACUAACACCUGAAACACAAAUUGACAAAUAGUUGCUAAUAUUCCCUGAGCUCUUACUUGGUGUCGGGUGCUCUUUUCUAAGAAUGGAGUCGACAGGGGGGCCUUGUAACUAUUGUGCACUGUGACUUGCUUAUUUAACCUCUGGGUAAAAAGGAAGCUGAUGGACCUUCCAACCCUGCUGAAAGCCACCCACAAACACAUUGUAGUCAAUAUCAAUUUUCCAAUGUAUUACUGAUUCUAACAGGCAUUAAUUUCAAAACAAACAAUGGCUUCCUUUGGUGAUUUCCAUACUGCAGAUACAACUACCAUUUUUGCUGACCUGCUUCUUGUCAGAUAUUUUUUGACUGUCUAUAUAGAAUGAAAGAGAAUUUAUUUUUGGAUGUAUUUAUUGAACUGAACUGGGAGAAGGGGGAUAGGGAAUUAUAAGUGGGAGAAUUGUUAAUAACUGUCUCCACCCCACUCCCCACUGCUCUGCCCAAAGUUGAUGUAAAAACCCCUAUAUCCAUAGUCCCUGAUUCCCCUCCAAUAUGUGCUUUAAAGUGCUUUCCUCAUUUUGCCAGCACACAUACACAUCAAUUGCAUUCACCUUUGGCCUCUAUUUCAUUUUUGUUUGGCAUUGCAAAAGCCCGUAAAUGCUGAUAUGACUAAGGACUUAUCUGUGAAGCAUUCAUUCAUCAAAUAUGUGCAAGGAGCUUAGGUCUGAAUGUAAAAAGUAGAGGUCAAGGUCAGAAGGGUCAUUGAGGUAGGAGACGGGCCCUGGCAUUAGCCCCACCUCCUUCUUAGUGGGAUGGGCCCCAGGGGCAGUCUGGGUCCAUGGAAGUUGAGUUUCCAGGAAGUCCAUCCUGCCCAUGUGCCCUGGGAUGGAAAUUUGUAGCCCACCCCAGGGACCUACUCCUGCUCCUUCCUCACUCCCCCUCUUUUAUUUUGCCAUUUCUCUGGCAAUUGCAUCCUCUCAUAGGCUCUAGUUAUUAUUGCUGUACUGACCACUUCUGAACAUAUACUCCAUCUCAGGUGUCCAUUCUGAGUGUAUACUGGGUGUCCUGACUUGCAGGCAUCUCAAACUCAACUUCUCCAAACCAACUCCCCACUGUGUCCUUUUUGUCCUCUGUACACCUAACCCACUGAUGCCUAAAGGAAACAUAGGGGUUAUUCUACAGUCUUGUUUCCUCUCAUUUCUACGUCUAAUCAGUUAAUGACAAAAAAAUCCCCCUUUAAUUAAAAUUAAUUAAAGUAAUUAAUUAAAUGGUAAUUAAACUAUUUUUUAGUUAGUAAACUUUGUUAAAGUAUAAUAUCUAUGCAAAAAGCUUCCAUAAGUGCACAAUAUGAUGGGAUUUUUUCCCAAGUAGAAUAUGUAUCUCUAUAACCACAAUUCAGAUAAAAAAAAUCAGAACUUUUGUAGCAGAAGUACCCUCCAUCACCUCUCAGUCACUGCCCCACAAAGGUGAUUAUUCUCCUGACUUCAAACGUCAAUGAUAAAUCUUGUUUGAUUUCAAACUUUCUAUGGAUGAACUCACAGUAUACGUCUUUUUGCCUGGCGUCUUUCACUCAACGUUAUGCUUGUGAGAUGCAUCCAUGCUGUUAUGCAUGAUCAGUUGUUUAUUUCUCAGUGCUGUAUGGUAUUCUUGUUGCACAUCAAGGGAGCAUUAUUAUAAAGUGUGUGUCUUCAUGAGGCUCUUUGAAGACAUGCUGGAUAGAGUCAAAUCAUGAGAAGUUUCAUUUCAUAGAGUAUAUCUUUAAAAGAAACGCAUACUAUUUUGUGAUAUUUAAUUUUUUAACUUUUAUUUUACAAUGUUUAUUAUUAUAAUGUUUUUUGAGACAGAGUCUCACUCUGUAGCCCAGGCUGGAGUGCAGUGAUGCAAUUAUAGCUCACUGCAAUUCCUGGGCUCAAGCAAUCCUUCUGCCUUAGCCUCCCAAGUAGUUAGGACUACAGGCAUGUGCCACAGUGCCUAGCUAAUUUUCUAAUUUUGUUUAAAGGUUUUUGUAGCGAUGAUGCCUCGCUAUAUUGUCCAGGCUGGUUUUGAACUCUUGACUUCAAACAAUCCUCCCUCCACGGCCUCCAAAAGUGUUGGGAUUACAGGCAUGAGCCACUGAGCCCUGGCUAUGAUGUUUUAAGCUUGCCAAUAAGGAAGUUGAGGCACUCUGGAGAGAACCAGAUAGAUAAGAAGCCAGAAAAAGUAAAAGUGAAACUUCUUCUAUUUUCUGGAGUUUGUGCUCUUCGUUGUAGUUUUGAAAGAAAAGUCAUGCUUCAAUUAAUAACAGACAACGGAGUCAAUAUUAUGGGAGCAGAGACAAUGAUGUGAUCAAAUGCCAAGAAAUGACUGACAGCAGAAAAAAUAUCAUGUGAGCCAAAGCAAUUUCACUUGACUUUUAACUUUAUUCAUCCAACGAAUAACAUUUCAUCACAGUUUUAUCAAUGGAAUGCAAUUCCACCCAGAUCAUUCUGUCAACGACAAGAAACAGCAUCAAAUCAUUCUGUCC
rnacentral:lncRNA from 10 species